rnacentral:rRNA from 1 species
UACGUAGGGUGCAAGCGUUGUCCGGAAUUAUUGGGCGUAAAGAGCUUGUAGGCGGUUUGUCGCGUCUGCUGUGAAAUUUCGGGGCUCAACCCCCGAACUUGCAGUGGGUACGGGCAGACUAGAGUGUGGUAGGGGAGACUGGAAUUCCUGGUGUAGCGGUGAAAUGCGUAGAGAUCAUGAGGAAGACCAGUGGCGAAGGCGGGUCUCUGGACAGUUCCUGACACUGAGACACGAAGGCCAGGGGAGCAAACGGG